rnacentral:rRNA from 1 species
UACAUGUGGGGCAAGCGUUGUUCGGAAUUACUGGGCAUAAAGGGUGCGUAGGUGGUUUGUUAAGUCAGGGGUGAAAUCCCGCGGCCCAACCGUGGAACUGCCUUUGAUACUGGCGAACUUGAGUGCGUGAGGGGUAGAGGGAACGAGCAGUGUAGCGGUGAAAUGCGUAGAUAUUGCUCGGAAGGCCAGAGCCGAAGGGGCCCUACUGGUGCGUAACUGACACUGAGGCACGAAAGCGUGGGGAGCAAACAGG